rnacentral:piRNA from 1 species
UAAAAGUACCUUUGAAAUAAUUUACCAAUG